rnacentral:lncRNA from 1 species
AUUUGCCUUCAAGAAACCAAACUUCAAUGUGUUUCAACCAUAGUUAGUUAAUUCGCGAAUUAAUGAAAAUCCAAAUAAAACGAUCCGUAUACGAUUUAUUCCCACAAAAUCGGAAUAAUACGCGAAUUUUUGGGUUAGAUUUAUUAUUCGUGAAUAAUUCGCGUAUGCCGAACUAUUUGACACAAAAAAGGUGCAAAUUUUUUGGAUAAAGUUUCUUUCUGAAUUAUUGUCGAAGUAUUGCCGAAUUAUGCACAAAUUAUUGAAAAACUUCAUGAACUUUCGAAAUAUGUGGAUCAUGAAAAAAAUGAAGAUGAAGACGAUAAUAAAAUUUGCUAUUGCUUUUUUUUACUUAAUCUAUUUUAUUCUGUAGCUCUUUUUUUUAUAUAUUUUUAAGAAUUUAUAACUAUAUAUGCUAUUAACAUAAAUCUAGAGAAAAAAAAGCUUAGUUUAAUAACCGAAUUUUUUAUCCCGAAUUAUUAAUUGGUGAACAUGUAAUAUUCGUAUAAAUCACAUAUCCGAAUAAUUUUUUUUUGAUUAAACAGGGGCAUACCCUAUUUUAGAAAAGCAAGAUCGGCGUAUCCGAAUAAUUGGCGAAUCCAUUUUUUAAGCCAUAUUUUUCAACGACUUUAAAAAUUGAGAUAUGUAUUUUAUUCGAAUUAUACUCAUAUCGAAUUUUUGCAAAUCCGAAUUAACUAACUAUGGUUUCAACAAGCAAGCUGAGUAGCAUUUGUGGGCGAAAGCUAGACGGAUUUGCAUAUAAAUCCUGACGUCUGAACUCGAAACUUUUUUGCAAGGCUCGUUACGUGGACUUGAAUUAAAUGGAGAGAAAUUAAUAAUGCUAGGAGCCUGGCAUGACUCGAACUCAGGACCUUCUGCUCUAAUAUCAUGUGAAACAAUCGCCGUACACUAAAAGUUUAAGCUGUUAGAGAACGAUGCUUAUAUAUUUUUAUAUUUAACAGUUCAGGCGGUCUGCUAACUGCAUCGAUCGAAAAUCAAGGCAACCUUUCCUGCUAACCAAU